UAAAUGGACUCAAAGGCAGUAUUUGAUAUUUCCAUUUAUAUUAUUUAUUAAUUAAAAAUUAAUAAAUAAGGGAAUAAAAAUAGAAUUGACAUUUA
rnacentral:tmRNA from 13 species